rnacentral:rRNA from 1 species
UGGGGAAUAUUGCACAAUGGGCGCAAGCCUGAUGCAGCCAUGCCGCGUGUGUGAAGAAGGCCUUCGGGUUGUAAAGCACUUUCAGCGAGGAGGAAGGUGGUGAGCUUAAUACGCUCAUCAAUUGACGUUACUCGCAGAAGAAGCACCGGCUAACUCCGUGCCAGCAGCCGCGGUAAUACGGAGGGUGCAAGCGUUAAUCGGAAUUACUGGGCGUAAAGCGCACGCAGGCGGUUUGUUAAGUCAGAUGUGAAAUCCCCGGGCUCAACCUGGGAACUGCAUUUGAAACUGGCAAGCUAGAGUCUCGUAGAGGGGGGUAGAAUUCCAGGUGUAGCGGUGAAAUGCGUAGAGACCUGGAGGAAUACCGGUGGCGAAGGCGGCCCCCUGGACGAAGACUGACGCUCAGGUGCGAAAAGCGUGGGGCAGCAAACAGGAUUAGAUACCCUGGUAGUCCACGCUGUAAACGAUGUCGAUUUGGAGGUUGUGCCCUUGAGGCGUGGCUUCCGGAGCUAACGCGUUAAA